AUUGAACGCUGGCGGCAGGCCUAACACAUGCAAGUCGAGCGGAUGAAGGGAGCUUGCUCCUGGAUUCAGCGGCGGACGGGUGAGUAAUGCCUAGGAAUCUGCCUGGUAGUGGGGGAUAACGUCCGGAAACGGGCGCUAAUACCGCAUACGUCCUGAGGGAGAAAGUGGGGGAUCUUCGGACCUCACGCUAUCAGAUGAGCCUAGGUCGGAUUAGCUAGUUGGUGGGGUAAAGGCCUACCAAGGCGACGAUCCGUAACUGGUCUGAGAGGAUGAUCAGUCACACUGGAACUGAGACACGGUCCAGACUCCUACGGGAGGCAGCAGUGGGGAAUAUUGGACAAUGGGCGAAAGCCUGAUCCAGCCAUGCCGUGUGUGUGAAGAAGGUCUUCGGAUCGUAAAGCACUUUAAGUUGGGAGGAAGGGCAGUAAGUUAAUACCUUGCUGUUUUGACGUUACCAACAGAAUAAGCACCGGCUAACUUCGUG
rnacentral:rRNA from 1 species